UUUAUUAAUCCCGCCCAUCCGCCCCAGUUUCGCCCAUCUCGACGUCUGGACUCUCUGUUCGCAGAAUCGCACUUGCGAUUCUCUCCAUCUCUUGUUCCGACGAACUCGCAAGAUCAGGCCCUUCCCAAAUUGCAAGAGGUCGGCGGCGUUCCCUUCGCAAAUCCUAAGAGGUCGCCGGCCUUGGCUUUCACAAAUCGCAAGAGCUCGCCUUCUUGGUUCGCGGCCAGCAGCCCCCUUCCGCAUUCGGCUUCAUUGAAGAAUGGCAAGUUAUGAAGAUUUAUCACAAAUUAACGUUUCUAAAGAGGAGAAAGACAAACUGGUAGCAGAAGUUAUCCGUUAUGUUCUUUUUAGAACUCACCAUGGCAAUGGAUGCCCCAUAAAGAGGGAAGAACUGACCCAAUUGAUUACUAAAAGCUAUCACCAAAGGUCUCUUCCUACAAUUAUCAUCAAUGAGGCUAGAGAAAAGCUUUCUAUCAUCUUUGGCUAUGAGAUGAAGGAGCUUCAGCGUACUCGUGCUUCCUCUAACAGACGUGCUUCUCAGCAGAGUGUUGUUGACACAAAAUCUUAUAUACUUGAGAGCAAAUUACCUUCUGGUAUCUACAAAAAAUAUGUUGAAGACAAGGGGGCAUCUCAUAUUUCUGGGUUCACGUUUGUAGUGAUCAGCAUCGUUCAUCUCGCUGGUGGUAAAAUCCCUGAAGAAAAUCUAUGGCAUCAUUUAAGGCGGAUGGGAUUUAGUGAGAGUGAUGAGAACCAUCCACUCUUUGGGAACUCCAAGCAAACAUUGGAGCUGCUUGUUCAACAGAGAUAUCUUCAGAAAGAGAAAACUAAUGGCCCUGAAGGAAAUGUUUUCAUUUACGAGCUUGCUGAGAGAACAUUAGAAGGAUCUGUUUAUGAGAAGUUGAAAGAUUCCAUAGUUGAGAUUGUGAGCAAAGAUGCUACUGCCGUUGAAGCUGACUAAAACUUGAUGUAUGCCAAUUUCCGUGCAAGAAGAGAGGGAGAGAGAGAAGAUUGUUCGGUUGGGAAAUGGGUCAGGACCAGUUGAAGUGAGGUUGACAGAGAUCCUCAGAUUUUUUUUUAGAUUUUGUUAUUUUUAUUUUUUAUUUUUGUAGCUAGCUGUUUGUAAUAGAUUAGAGAUAGAGUGGUUUCCUGACUAUCGUAUAUUAAUUUUGGAAGAAUGAAUAUAGUGUAAUAAUUUGAUGUAUGUAAUUAUUAGUUGCUUUUA